CCUACUGCAUACCAAGGCGCAGGUAAUGCGUCAGCAACCAGCUGCAAACAGGGCUCUAUCGAUGUAUUGGUCGGGUCCGUGCCGUCAGUGCACACCAGCAUAACACAUAAGAAAUGGGGACCUGCAAUUCAUUCAUGCAAAAAAUGUAAUAAUGUAGCUGGCCGCUCGUCGCUGGCCGCCGAUUGGAAUGCUGGAAUAAAAAAAUACCCUGUGUUAGUGCAUGUAUGCCUUGAGGGGGUAGUAGCCGGCCCAGGCCGAAAAGGCCUCUCGAGAUGCGAGGAACAUGUGCUCCAGUGCGUAUUUAUGUAUGUUUUCGCGGGAAGCCUUCGUUGCAAAAAGGAAACAUAUAUAGCUGGCAAGCAAUGAAAACAGGGCCGGGUGUGGGUGCACUCCCCCGAAGCGACAACUAGGCCUGCAGACCAACUGCUUCAGGGCGGUAGUACCCAAACACCCGAAGUAACCAGCACAACCACGCACGCAAGUCCAUGCAAAUCGUACAGCGGCACUCCCAAUUCACAGGAAACCUUAGUUUUCUCGACGCUUCGCUUACAAAGCUAUGAGAUUGUGUGAAGAAGGGGGCAAUAGCUUCAUCCGUGGCCACCACUAGCCUGGCAGUGUUUACCUUCCCGGGUGUGUUUGGGUGCACCCUCAUGCUUCUGACCCAUGCCGACUUCUGAAACGUC
rnacentral:lncRNA from 1 species